rnacentral:rRNA from 1 species
ACGGAGGGGGCUAGCGUUGUUCGGAAUUACUGGGCGUAAAGCGCACGUAGGCGGCUUUGUAAGUUAGAGGUGAAAGCCCAGAGCUCAACUCUGGAAUUGCCUUUAAGACUGCAUCGCUUGAAUUGUGGAGAGGUGAGUGGAAUUCCGAGCGUAGAGGUGAAAUUCGUAGAUAUUAGGAAGAACACCAGUGGCGAAGGCGGCUCACUGGCUCGGUACUGACGCUGAGGCGCGAAAGCGUGGGGAGCAAACAGGA